rnacentral:rRNA from 1 species
GACAGCAGUCGCCACGGUAAUACGAAGGGUGCAAGCGUUACUCGGAAUUACUGGGCGUAAAGCGUGCGUAGGUGGUGGGUUAAGUCCGUUGUGAAAGCCCUGGGCUCAACCUGGGAAUUGCAAUGGAUACUGGCAAGCUAGAGUGUGUCAGAGGAUGGUGGAAUUCCCGGUGUAGCGGUGAAAUGCGUAGAGAUCGGGAGGAACAUCAGUGGCGAAGGCGGCCAUCUGGGACAACACUGACGCUGAGGCACGAAAGCGUGGGGAGCAAACAGGAUUAGAUACCCCCGUAGUCCCUGUCUCUUAUAC